rnacentral:rRNA from 1 species
AUUGAACACUGGCGGCAGGCUUAACACAUGCAAGUCGAGCGGGGUGAUGGUGCUUGCACUAUCACUUAGCGGCGGACGGGUGAGUAAUGCUUAGGAAUCUGCCUAUUAGUGGGGGACAACAUCUCGAAAGGGAUGCUAAUACCGCAUACGUCCUACGGGAGAAAGCAGGGGAUCACUUGUGACCUUGCGCUAAUAGAUGAGCCUAAGUCGGAUUAGCUAGUUGGUGGGGUGAAGGACUACCAAGGCGACGAUCUGUAGCGGGUCUGAGAGGAUGAUCCGCCACACUGGCACUGAGACACGGCCCAGACUCCUACGGGAGGCAGCAGUGGGGAAUAUUGGACAAUGGGGGGAACCCUGAUCCAGCCAUGCCGCGUGUGUGAAGAAGGCCUUAUGGUUGUAAAGCACUUUAAGCGAGGAGGAGGCUCUUUUGGUUAAUACCCAAGAUGAGUGGACGUUACUCGCAGAAUAAGCACCGGCUAACUCUGUGCCAGCCGCCGCCGUAA